rnacentral:rRNA from 1 species
CUGGCUCAGGAUGAACGCUAGCGGCAGGCCUAACACAUGCAAGUCGCGGGGCAGCACGGGUAGCAAUACCUGGUGGCGACCGGCGCACGGGUGCGUAACGCGUAUGCAACCUGCCCCCAUCAGGGGAAUAGCCCGCCGAAAGGCGGAUUAAUGCCCCAUAGGCCCAGGGCGCCGCAUGGCGCUAUGGGUAAAGCUCCGGCGGAUGGGGAUGGGCAUGCGUGCCAUUAGCUAGUUGGGGCGGUAACGGCGCACCAAGGCGACGAUGGCUAGGGGGUCUGAGAGGAUGGUCCCCCACACUGGUACUGAGACACGGACCAGACUCCUACGGGAGGCAGCAGUGAGGAAUAUUGGUCAAUGGGCGGAAGCCUGAACCAGCCAUGCCCGCGUGCAGGAUGACGGCCCUACGGGUUGUAAACUGCUUUUCCCCGGGAAGAAUAAGCCCCUCGUGAGGGAUGAUGCCGGUACCGGGGGAAUAAGGAUCGGCUAACUCCGUGCCAGCAGCGGC